GACCUGCGGAGGAUCAUUAUUGAACAAAAAUGUGUGAGGCAUGCAAAGGGCUGUCGCUGACCUUUUUAAUUAAAAGUUGUGCACGCCGGGAGCAUGUCCUCUCGCAUAAAAUCCAUCUCACCAUUCUGUGCACCACCGCGUGGGUGCCCUUCAGGAUCGAAACCGAUCUGGGAGGGGGCCUGCGUUUUCACACAAACCCCCAUUUAAAAGUGUAGAAUGACUCCAUUUUUGCGAUAACACGCAAUCAAUACAACUUUCAACAACGGAUCUCUUGGCUCUCGCAUCGAUGAAGAACGCAGCGAAAUGUGAUACGUAAUGUGAAUUGCAGAAUUCAGUGAAUCAUCGAAUCUUUGAACGCACCUUGCGCCCCUUGGUAUUCCGAGGGGCACACCCGUUUGAGUGUCGUGAAAAUCUCAACCUUCUCGGUUUCUUCUGGACACCGAAGGAGGCUUGGACUUUGGAGGCCUUUGCUGGCAUCCCUUCUUCUUUUGAAGGCCAGCUCCUCUCAAAUGAAUUAGUGGGGUCCUCUUUGCCGAUCCUCGACGUGUGAUAAUAUGUUUCCAUGUCUUGGUUUAAUGGCUCUGUUGCCUUUGGGACCCGCUUCUAACCGUCUUGACGACAACGAGGUUCGAGGGUGUCUCCUCCCCUUCUCGGGGGGAAAGAGAUGCUCUGGAACCCAACGAAACCCUUGACCUCAAAUCGGGUGAGACUACCCGCUGAACUUAAGCAUAUCAAUAAGGCAGGGGGAA
rnacentral:rRNA from 1 species